GGGUAGUUUGACUGGGGCGGUCUCCUCCCAAAGAGUAACGGAGGAGCACGAAGGUGGGCUAAUCACGGUUGGACAUCGUGAGGUUAGUGCAAUGGCAUAAGCCCGCUUAACUGCGAGAAUGACGGUUCGAGCAGGUGCGAAAGCAGGUCAUAGUGAUCCGGUGGUUCUGUAUGGAAGGGCCAUCGCUCAACGGAUAAAAGGUACUCCGGGGAUAACAGGCUGAUACCGCCCAAGAGUUCAUAUCGACGGCGGUGUUUGGCACCUCGAUGUCGGCUCAUCACAUCCUGGGGCUGAAGUCGGUCCCAAGGGUAUGGCUGUUCGCCAUUUAAAGUGGUACGCGAGCUGGGUUUAGAACGUCGUGAGACAGUUCGGUCCCUAUCUGCCGUGGGCGUUGGAAGAUUGAAGGGGGCUGCUCCUAGUACGAGAGGACCGGAGUGGACGAACCUCUGGUGUUCGGGUUGUGUCGCCAGACGCAUUGCCCGGUAGCUAAGUUCGGAAUUGAUAAGCGCUGAAAGCAUCUAAGCGCGAAGCGAGCCCUGAGAUGAGUCUUCCCUGAUACUUUAAGUAUCCUA
rnacentral:rRNA from 1 species